rnacentral:rRNA from 1 species
GUGCCAGCAGCCGCGGUAAAACGUAGGACGCAAGCGUUAUCCGGAGUUACUGGGCGUAAAGCGCGGGCAGGCGGUCUGUUAAGUCUGAUGUGAAAUCUCUCAGCUCAACUGGGAGCAGCCAUUGGAAACUAGCUGACUGGAGUCUGGCAGAGGUAGGCGGAAUUCCGGGUGGAGUGGUGAAAUGCGUAGAGAUCCGGAGGAACACCAGAGGCGAAGGCGGCCUACUGGGCCAGUACUGACGCUGAGCCGCGAAAGCCAGGGGAGCGAACGGGAUUAGAUACCCUCGUAGUCC